rnacentral:rRNA from 1 species
UACGUAUGGUGCAAGCGUUAUCCGGAUUUACUGGGUGUAAAGGGAGCGUAGGCGGCGCGUUAAGUCUGAUGUGAAAACCCGAGGCUCAACCACGGGAGUGCAUUGGAAACUGGCGGGCUGGAGUGCCGGAGAGGUAAGCGGAAUUCCUAGUGUAGCGGUGAAAUGCGUAGAUAUUAGGAGGAACACCAGUGGCGAAGGCGGCCUGCUGGACGGUGACUGACGCUGAGGCUCGAAGGCGUGGGGAGCAAACAGG